GGUGCCGGCCGCCAUCUUGUGCCGCUGUCGGGGUUGGGGAUCGCUGUGCCGCUGUUGCGGGACUCCUUGCGGGGCCCGCGGCCGCGAUGAGCGCGGAGGCGGCGGACCGCGAAGCCGCUACCUCCAGCCGGCCAUGCACGCCACCUCAGACCUCGUGGUUCGAGUUCGUGCUGGAGGAGGCGCUGCUGGAGCAGCACCUGCAGAAGCCCUCUCCCGAUCCGCCACCUGUACAGCUGAUUGUUCAGUUCUUGGAACAAGCUUCAAAACCAUCAGUGAAUGAACAAAACCAAGUCCAGCCACCACCUGAUAACAAAAGAAACCGCAUUUUAAAACUUCUCGCUCUCAAAGUUGCUGCUCAUCUGAAGUGGGAUUUGGAUGUAUUAGAGAAAAGCUUGUCGGUUCCUGUAUUGAACAUGCUACUGAAUGAGCUUCUGUGUAUCAGCAAAGUUCCCCCAGGAACUAAACAUGUGGAUGUAGACCUGUCCAGCUUACCCCCAACCACUGCAAUGGCAAUACUACUCUACAACAGAUGGGCCAUAAGGACCAUUGUUCAAAGUAGUUUUCCUGUAAAGCAAGUGAAACCUGGUCCACCUCAGUUAAAUGUGAUGAACCAGAUGCAACAAGAAAAGGAGCUAACAGAAAAUAUUUUGAAAGUGUUGAAAGAGCAGGCUGCUGAUUCCAUCCUGGUCCUAGAAGGAGCACUGAAAUUAAACAAAGAUCUUUAUGUCCAUACUAUAAGAACUCUGGAUUUAUUGGCCAUGGAACCUGGUAUGGUGAAUGGAGAAACAGAGAGUUCCACAGCUGGACUGAAAAUCAGUGCAGAGGAGAUACAGUGCCAGGUUUGCUAUGAUUUGGGUGCCAUCUACUUCCAACAAGGAUCGACAAAUGUAGCUGUUCAUGAAAAGGCUAAAGAAAAGUUUUUCAAAACAAAGGAGUUGAUUGCAAAGAAUGGCUCAUCAUCACUUCAUUUUACCAUAGAUGAAGAACGGUUAGCUGGAUAUUGUCAAGCUUGUGAAGUUCUUACCUCAUCUUCUGAUGAUGCAUCCCAGCAGGCAACUCCAUAUAGUCAAAUCCACAGCUGUAUGAAAUCUGGCAACUAUCAGGACAUAGUGAAGAUAUUCCUUGAAGAUAACCUAACCCUCAGUUUACCUGAACAGUUCAGGCAAUCAGUGUUGAGAGAACUCUUCCAAAAAGCUCAGCAAGGGAAUGAUGCUCUGGAUGAAGUCUGUUUCAAAGUCUGCGUGUGCAACACAGUCUGCGAUGUAUUGCAGGGUCGAACAAUUGAUAUUCAGUUUUGUCAGCUGUUCCUGAAACCCAGCAAAGAAAAAAUAGACUUCCUCCUGGAGGUUUGUUCUGGGUCAAUAAAUUUGGAAAAUGCUUCUGAAGCGUUGAAGAGAAAAAUGGCAGCAUUUCUCAAAAACUUGUGUUUGGGCAUGGAAGAUCUUCAGUUUGUCUUCAUGAUUUCAUCUCAUGAGCUGUUCAUAAAACUGCUGAAAGAUGACGAACGGAAGCUGCUCAUUGAUCAAAUGCGGAAGAGGUCUCCUCGAAUCAACCUGUGCACAAAACCUGUGACUUCUUUUUAUGAUAUCCCAGCUUCAGCAAGCGUCAAUAUUGGCCAGCUUGAACAUCAGCUCAUACUGUCAGUAGAUCCUUGGAGGAUUCGCCAGAUCUUAAUCGAGCUGCAUGGUAUGACUUCAGAACGCCAAUUCUGGACAAUUUCAAAUAAGUGGGAAGUACCAAAUGUUUACGGCAAUGUUAUUUUAGGAAUCAAAGACAGUCUGACUAGGGAUUUGGUCUACAUCCUGAUGGCAAAGGGACUGCACUGCUGUGCAAUUAAGGAUUUCAUCCAUGCAAAACAGCUUUUUGCUGCUUGUUUGGAGCUUGUGACAGAGUUUUCUCCAAAGCUCCGUCAAGUCAUGCUGAAUGAAAUGCUACUUUUGGACAUUUACACUCAUGAAGCUGGAGCUGGUGCUUCUGGAGAACGUCCUCCUUCUGAUCUUAUAAGCAGAGUCCGAGGAUAUUUGGAAAUGAGAGUACCUGAUAUUCCUCUUCGACAAGUUAUAGCUGAAGAAUGUGUUGCCUUCCUGUUAAACUGGUGUGAGAAUGAGUAUUUGACCAUGCAGGUUCCAUUACCUCUGGUUCAGACUAAUCCUUACGUGAAGCUGGGCCAGUUGCUGGCUGCUACGUGCAAAGAACUUCCAGGUCCCAAAGAAAGUAGACGCACAGCAAAAGACCUCUGGGAAGUUGUUGUACAAAUCUGCAGUGUAUCCAACCAGCACAAACGGGGGAAUGAUGGCAGAGUGAGUUUGAUAAAACACAGGGAAUCUACACUGGGCAUUAUGUACAGGAGUGAAUUGUUGUCCUUCAUCAAAAAGCUUCGGGAACCACUGGUUUUAACCACAAUAUUGUCCUUGUUUGUGAAACUGCAUAAUGUUCGGGAAGACAUUGUGAAUGAUAUUGCAGCAGAGCACAUUUCUAUCUGGCCUUCAUCCAUUCCCAAUCUUCAAUCAGUGGACUUCGAAGCUGUAGCUGUUACAGUAAAAGAGCUGGUCAGCUAUGCGUUGACUAUCAAUGCAAACAACCACUUCUGGUUAAUUAUUCAGGCAGAUAUUUAUUUUGCAACGAAUCAGUAUUCAGCAGCCCUUCACUAUUACCUACAGGCAGGAGCUGUGUGCUCAGACUUCUUUAAUAAGAUGGUGCCACCAGAUGUGUACACAGACCAGUGCUGGUAUCGCAUGGACGGAGCCUGCUUGUUUCCACCCGUGGUGCAGGCAAACUUUGUGUCCUGUCUAAAUGCUUCUGAAAUACUGUCUGCUCCGGUUAACAUGGAUGAGGGUGAUAAAAAGAAUGAUCAAGUGCUGCUCUUUACUAAACUGUCACACCCAGGUAGCUAUUUUGUGCCAGUUCCUCAGAGAAGUUGAUUAUAAAACUGCGUUUAAGGCACUGCAGGAACAGAACAGUCAUGAUGCCAUGGAUUCUUACUAUGAAUACAUCUGGGAUGUCACCAUCUUGGAGUAUUUGACAUAUCUCCACCACAAAAGAGGCGAGACAGACAAGCGGCAGAUAGCAAUAAAAGCCAUUGGCCAGACAGAGCUGAAUGCCAGUAAUCCAGAGGAAGUCCUACAGCUUGCUGCGCAGAGAAGGAAAAAGAAGUUUCUUCAAGCAAUGGCAAAACUUUACUUCUAGGCAAAUGCUGGAAAACUUAUUAUAAAACAUGUAGAAGUGAAAAAAAAAUCUUUCAAGACUUUAUUAUUUUUAAAAACGCAUUUAAAUUUUUAUACAACA